rnacentral:rRNA from 1 species
UACGAAGGUGGCAAGCGUUGUUCGGAUUCACUGGGCGUACAGGGUGUGUAGGCGGUUUGGUAAGCCUUCUGUUAAAGCUUCGGGCCCAACCCGGAAAGCGCAGAGGGUACUGCCAGGCUAGAGGACGGGAGAGGAGCGCGGAAUUCCCGGUGUAGCGGUGAAAUGCGUAGAGAUCGGGAGGAAGGCCGGUGGCGAAGGCGGCGCUCUGGAACGUUACUGACGCUGAGGCACGAAAGCUAGGGUAGCGAACGGG